rnacentral:misc_RNA from 1 species
CGAGUGUGUAAGCUUUCUGGAGACUGUGGUCCCGUAUGGGAGAAGUUUACAGAAGUACAAUGGAUAAAAAGAGUGCUUAUUCUUUGCGGAUGGCUGACACGUGUCCCGUUAGUAUUGAGAGCUCGCAAACGCUUUCGAUGAUUCCAGAGGAAAAGCGACAAAUGGACGACGGUGUCGUUUGGAAUCCCAAUAUUAGACAUGAGAUCGAUUCGAUUCGAUUUUGACCUGACUGUACAAAUCCAACAAUUGCCCCAUCAUCAACAGGUAUUGCUUGACUCAUUCUCUCCAGAUGUAGUUGGACUGAGCUCUCGUUUCGUUGACUCUUCUUUGCUGCACAUUGAUGCUGCACUAUCCUCACAUUUAGUUGAGUCCUCACCAGGCAUUGAAGUUGGGCAUGGCUCGGAAACUUCAUGCAACUCCAUAUGGCCAGCACCACCAUUUCUUUCUGAAGUUUCAGGUUCCCCAUUUUCAGAUGCAGAAGCUUCCUGAGAACCGGCGCAUGCCAAUUUUUCGGUGGGCUGAACAUCAGUAUCUACAGUACACUUGAAGGCAGAUGGAAUAUUUUCUUUGACAGAAAUAUCGCUACUGGUUGUACUAGAAGUCACCCACGUAAACUUCAAAUUGUUGCCUUGCCAGCAUUUACCAUUUAAAAAUGCCCUCUCAGCUGAAUGGCGAGUUGUGAAAGUCACGCGGGCUGAGCAACUUUUUGGCAUCUGUGACCUGUCAAUAUCAGUAUUACAGGCAUCAACAUCUUCUAGUUCAACAGCAGAAAGUUCACCAUGUGAUGAGAAGAAUUCCUUCAGGGCAUCAACAUUUGUCAAACCAGGUGGUAAGGGUGGGAUGAUUCUAAAUGCUGUGGGCCGGUUAUCCAACUUGUAUCUAUUCAUCAGAAAGGGAACCCCUGAAGGUGCCACUGGACGAAUUGUCUGCUUUGAGCCUGUAGAGUAUAGCUGCAUCAAUGAUGUACUUGUUUUGGGACUGGAUGAUAUGACAUUUUCCACUGAUUUAUUCUUCUCCACUAUCAUCUCUGCACCUGGAGAUGGCACACCAGUGACAGGAUCAGAGGACCUUGGAGUGGUAGUUUUUGCAACAUCAGUUGCUAUUCCUACUC